GCGGCAGCAACCUUGGCUUUGCCGGAGUCGGGAGCAAAGGAGCUUGAUUGUGAAAUUCCUAUAGCUGCCAUAGUCAAAGCAAAGAAAACCUGCAAAGAAGAUGUCAAACUCAGUAUCAUAGGGACAUGAAUAUAAACUAAAAAGGUUUCG